rnacentral:rRNA from 1 species
UACAGAGGGCCCGAGCGUUAAUCGGAGUAACUGGGCUUAAAGGGUGCGUAGGCGGACUCGCAAGUGCUUUGUGAAAUCCCACGGCUUAACCGUGGAACUGCUUGGCAUACUGCGGGUCUUGAGGUCGGCAGAGGUGGUCGGAACUCUAGGUGUAGCGGUGAAAUGCGUAGAUAUCUAGAGGAACGCCGAUGGUGAAGACAGGCCACUGGGCCGAUUCUGACGCUCAGGCACGAAAGCGUGGGGAGCAAAC